UGGGCCAGCAGCACGACAGAAUGGAGACUUGGAACCAGGUUGGACUCACAGCACGACAGAAUGGAGACUUGAAACCAGAACUACAGCAGGCUGGCAGAGAAUGGAGGAACUAUGGACUGGACGAGACUGGAUGAGGUGAGCAGCAAAAACAGAGAUUACACGGCAGAAAUUGUGGAUUCCCUACUUCUGCACAAACCUUGAGCCAGUUUGACGUCCUCCUGCCCUAGCCAGCAACUCCAGGUCAUGAUGAACAGAUUUUGUAUUUGGAUGCAGCAACAGACAACAGAGCAAACAC